GCCAUGGUGGUCUAACGGUUAGAACGCUGGCCUUGUAAUCCUGGGGUCUCGGGUUCGAUUCCCGGCGGUGCCC
rnacentral:tRNA from 1 species